CGUGACCGGGGAAGGCGGGGAGGGGACGGGCGCGCGGCGGUGCGUCUCUGUGGGCCCGGGCCGGCGGCGCAGAGGGGAGGGGGAGGAUCCAUCAUGGCGUCUAUGCAGAAACGAUUACAAAAAGAACUAUUGGCAUUGCAAAAUGAUCCACCUCCAGGAAUGACUCUAAAUGAAAAGAGUGUACAAAAUUCAAUUACACAGUGGAUUGUAGACAUGGAAGGUGCUCCAGGAACACUAUAUGAAGGGGAGAAAUUUCAGCUUCUAUUUAAGUUCAGUAGUCGGUAUCCUUUUGAUUCGCCUCAGGUCAUGUUUACUGGAGACAAUAUUCCUGUUCAUCCUCAUGUUUAUAGCAAUGGUCAUAUCUGUUUAUCCAUUCUAACAGAAGACUGGUCUCCAGCUCUCUCAGUGCAAUCUGUUUGUCUUAGCAUUAUUAGCAUGCUUUCCAGCUGCAAAGAAAAGGUCUUUUCUUCUGUUGCAGAGGCGACCUCCAGAUAACUCAUUUUAUGUAAGAACAUGUAACAAGAAUCCAAAGAAAACAAAAUGGUGGUAUCAUGAUGACACAUGUUGAUGCCACCAUUUUGUGAUCCUCGUAGCAGAAGAUAGUCCUACUGAGAAAAUGAGCACUUUGAUCAUUCAGUCUUUGAACUUUAACCUUUGACUGGAAGUGACCUAUAGGCAAUGAAGACUACUUCCUUUGACUGCAUUUUUACUAGUGUGCAUUCUGGGCGCAUGUUGAUCGCUGGUUCAGUCCAUGCAACUGACAUGCUUUUAUUAGUCAUACAGUAUUAAUGCAGGUGUCCAGAAAUGUCAGAAUAAUUCCAUUAUUUUUAUUUUAAGCUUUUGGAAGAAUUCCAGGUCUUCAUAUAUUGUGCAAUAACACUGAGCUCCUUGACGGUUUUGGUGCAUCCAUUGCCGGCAAUGGACAUUGUACCAGGGAAAGGUUUUGCUCCUGCCACAAAAAAAGAUUGAUGCAUGACAGAGCUUAUGAAAGUUUCGGAUAUAUUUGGAUUAUAAGCAAGGGAUCCUCCAUUACCUUAAAAGCCUCCCCAUUCUUUUAUAUUUGGAUUCUAUGCACUGUGGUCACAAAACUAGCAGCAUGAAUCAACAUGCUUAGCUGAAGGACUGUAAUAAGAUCAUUGCAUAUUUAUUAAAUUGUUUAUCUGCUGUCAGAUUGUUUUGACAUGGAAGGUUUUUCAAGUGACGUUGGCAGAGAGGUACAAUGUUAUCCCUAUGGUGAAAUAAAACUACUUUUUGUAUAUAGUUAUUCAUAUCUCUGAAGCAAAGGUAUGAGUAAUUUAGGGUAUGAGUGAUUUAAUCAAGAAUUUAUUUUGGAGAUAGAAGAGGAUGGCAGUGAUAUAACUGAACUUGCUGCAGUCCGUAAUUGGGCUUGUAAUUUGUACUUUAGAGCUUUUUCCAAAUAGAUUGCACACUGUUAUUUCCUGCUAGCCAUCAGCAUGAGCCCUACUGCCUACACCAAUAUUUCAUUUAUUUAUGUGUUUGAAAGCAAUCCAUAUAACAUUUUUUUGUUUGCAUUCACUGUUUCUUUUGUUGUUGUAUGUCAUGUUUGAAUGUUACAAAACAAUAUUUUGAUUGAAAAGCUUUGUCAGAAGAUAUUUUCAUGUAAAUUAUUUCUUUAUCUUGUAAGCAUCAUCUUGUCUUUUAAUCCUGUACUAUAAAAACAAAAAAAAAUACAUUUUUGACAGAGGCUUAAUGUUUUGACAAAAAAGUGUGGACCUUCUUAUUUAAGUUUAGACUAAAGUAUAUUUUCUUAACUUGCUUGUCCCACGCAGCCAUACCAAUUUUUUUCCAGGCUUUUACUUCACCAAAAAAGGGGAAAAAGCCUAAAAUCAGAUUGAUGUUUUUCUAUGGAGCAACAUUUAUUGAAAUGAUAGUCGUUCUCACCACUCUGUAAUAUUUUGAUACUGCAAUUAGGUUGUCUUUUUAGGAAGCACUUUUAUAAACUUAAUACCUUUACACAUAUGCAAAAUUUCUAUAACUUUUUUUACUGUUGCCUUAUUGUUGCACUCAAAAAAAAAAAAAUUCAAGCGAUUAAUGCAUGAAUGUCUAAAUCAAGUACCUGCUUGAUUUAAAAACAAAGAAAAGCCAAAAAAACCCCAAACCCAACCCAGAACUAAUAACUACAAUAACAAACAGAAAAUUGGCUGAAAAUACUGAUUUUUUUUCUUACUGCUGUAUGAUAACUGACAAGUUUUAUAGCCAUGUAUAUACUUCUCUGUUACCUGAUGUUUAAAAUGUUUUAAAGUGUAGAUGCUUAACUCAGGGUGGAUAGAGUUCAGAUGGAUUUGCUUCAGAGAAGUGUUUUGUACAGCAACUGAAUUAUGGAUAUUGCCAGUGAAGUGAGGCUACAAUAUACUUCAGGAACUGCUAUUUUUUUCUACUGUACUGAAAAUAUCUCUUGGCCUUUAAAACUCAAUGGUAAAAUCUAGCUUUGGAUAUAAAUUUGAUGUGUGUAUAUAUUUUCACAAUGAGCCUUUAAAACAUAGAAUUCAGUUUCUUUUAAGAGCCAAAAAUAAUCAUUUUAAGCAAAUGAAAUAGUUCUGCUCUGAACAUUUUGUUUAGCAAAAUUUUAUUGUUGUGAGUUAAUCAAACUGGUUAUUUUUGGAAAUGGUUCAUAUAAAAGAGCAGUAAUCUGAUACUUAAUCUGUAUAUUCACAUUAACUGCUCUGUAUUGAUUGAAAUGAUUGGUGCAGCUUUGAGAAAUUCAUGUAUGAAUGGUUCACAUAAUGGAUCCUAUCAAAUAGUCCACAGGAAAGAGACCUUAUUGUGAUACAAGGUAAUGUCUCUGAAGAAAUGGUUCAAGAACAUCUUCUCAGAUUCAUGUAUCUUUUCAUAUGGUGGCUUGCCAUACUACAAUACAUGGUUUCAGAGAAGCUUUAUGACAUGCUGUAUGUAUUUUGUUGAAGAUGGGUGUCGUAGUGCAAAGCAUUAUACUUUUUACUGACCUAUGCUAUCACAUGGACUACAGUGAAGUUAAAUAACCAAAUUUAUGCUGCUCUUUAAUAACCCUCCCCUAUAAUAUAUUUAGAUCAAAAAAAUGCAAGGUAGAUUAGAAGAGAAUGUACCUCAGGUCUUUUAGUUUACAGUAGAAAUGCCUCCAUUGGUUCUCUUGUAGAUCUGUGGGUAAGUUCACCUAUAUACAGAGGGCCAAGACAAAGCCUAUAUACCACUAAAGCCCUCAAAAUAAUGCAACUAUUCUGACAAUGCUAUGAUGUCCUGAAAUAGGGCUUGAAUUAGAUGAAGGUGGUGCCAUCCUUUCUGUAGGGUGACUCUGUGUAUGUAACUUUCUUUCACUUGGAAUUUCUCACAUGGAAUGGUUACAGAAUUGGCUUGAAACGAUCUUGCUUUUAUUUUGUGUCAAUGUUCGUGUUGUUAAACACUUUGUUUUGUGUUUAGUGUCUUUAUACUAUAACACAAUAAAUUCUUGUUUUAAAAUA